rnacentral:rRNA from 1 species
AGUGAACGCUGGCGGUAGGCCUAACACAUGCAAGUCGAACGGCAGCACAGGAGAGCUUGCUCUCUGGGUGGCGAGUGGCGGACGGUUGAGGAAUACAUCGGAAUCUACUCUGUCGUGGGGGAUAACGUAGGGAAACUUACGCUGAUACCGCAUACGACCUACGGGUGAAAGCAGGGGAUCUUCGGACCUUGCGCGAUUGAAUGAGCCGAUGUCGGAUUAGCUAGUUGGCGGGGUAAAGGCCCACCAAGGCGACGAUCCGUAGCUGGUCUGAGAGGAUGAUCAGCCACACUGGAACUGAGACACGGUCCAGACUCCUACGGGAGGCAGCAGUGGGGAAUAUUGGACAAUGGGCGCAAGCCUGAUCCAGCCAUACCGCGUGGGUGAAGAAGGCCUUCGGGUUGUAAAGCCCUUUUGUUGGGAAAGAAAUCCAGCUGGCUAAUACCCGGUUGGGAUGACGGUACCCAAAGAAUAAGCACCGGCUAACUUCGUGCCAGCAGCCGCGGUAA